AACGCGAAGAACCUUACCUGGGCUUGACUAGCUAGGAUUAUUCCCGAGAAACCGGGAUAGGCCCUUCGGGGUACAACUAGUACAGGUGCUGCAUGGCUGUCGUCAGCUCGUGUCGUGAGAUGUCGGGUUAAGUCCCUUAACGAGCGAAACCUUUGCCCUUAGUUACCAGCGGGUUAUGCCGGGGACUCUAAGGGGACUGCCGGUGUCAAACCGGAGGAAGGUGGAGAUGACGUCAAGUCCUCAUGGCCUUUAUGCCCAGGGCCACACACGUGCUACAAUGGGGUGGAUAAAGCGAACCUAAAGUGCAAGCUCAUGGAAAUCGCAAAAAUCACCCCCCAGUUCAGAUCGGAGGCUGCAACUCGCCUCCGUGAAGUUGGAAUCGCUAGUAAUCGCGGAUCAGCUACGCCGCGGUGAAUGUGUUCCCGGGCCUUGUACACACCGAUAGC
rnacentral:rRNA from 1 species